rnacentral:rRNA from 1 species
UACGUAGGGGGCAAGCGUUGUCCGGAUUUAUUGGGCGUAAAGAGCGUGUAGGCGGCCUGACAGGUCUGCUGUGAAAACUCGAGGCUCAACCUCGAGAUGUCGGCGGAAACCGUCUGGCUAGAGUCCGGAAGAGGAGAGUGGAAUUCCUGGUGUAGCGGUGAAAUGCGCAGAUAUCAGGAAGAACACCUAUGGCGAAGGCAGGUCUCUGGGCUGAAACUGACGCUCAUGCACGAAAGCGUGGGGAGCAAACAGG